rnacentral:rRNA from 1 species
CUAUAACCCUAUAGAGCCUUUUAUGCUAAAACUAGUAACAAGAGGGGACCCCCCCCCUCUCUUUAAUGUAAACUUAACCCAGCAAGAACCCAUCACUGGCACUUAACAGAACUAAACAAGCGUAGCAACCUCACUAGAAAACCCUACUCCACCCCCUGUUAACCUAACACUAGAACAUUUCAAGAAAGAUUUAAAGAGAAAGAAGGAAUUCAGCAAAAAAUAGCUCCGCCUGUUUACCAAAAACAUCGCCUCUUGACCCCAUAARAGGUCCAGCCUGCCCAGUGACUCUGUUCAACGGCCGCGGUAUCCUAACCGUGCGAAGGUAGCGUAAUCACUUGUCUUCUAAAUAAAGACUAGUAUGAAAGGCAUCACGAGAACUAAACUGUCUCCUCCCUCCAAUCAGUGAACCUAAUCUCCCCGUGAAGAAGCGGGGAUUCUCAUAUAAGACGAGAAGACCCUAUGGAGCUUAAAACAUCAUAACACCUGCCACCCACCCCCACUAUCCAGAUUUUCAACCUUGGCACACUGAUUAUAAGUUUUUGGUUGGGGUGACCGCGGAGAAAAACUAACCCUCCACAAUGAAAGGGGCCACGCCCCAAACAAUAAGUUACAACUUUAAGUCUCAACAAACUGACAUCCAUUGACCCAAUAUUUGAUCAACGAACCAAGUUACCCUAGGGAUAACAGCGCAAUCCACUUUAAGAGUCCAUAUCGACAAGUGGGCUUACGACCUCGAUGUUGGAUCGGGAUAUCCCUGGUGGUGCAGCAGCUACCAAAGGUUCGUUUGU